rnacentral:rRNA from 1 species
UGUUGCAUGGCUGUCGUCAGCUCGUGUCGUGAGAUGUUCCGGUUAAGUCCGCUAACGAGCGCAACCCUCGCCGUAUGUUACAAGUGUCAUACGGGACUGCCGGUAAAAAGCCGGAGGAAGGUGAGGAUGAUGUCAAGUCAGCAUGACCUUUAUAUCCAGGGCUACACACACGCUACAAUGGUCUGUACAAUUGGUUGCCAAGCCGCGAGGCGGAGCCAAUCCGUAAAGCAGGCCUCAGUUCAGAUUGCAGUCUGCAACUCGACUGCAUGAAGCCGGAGUUGCUAGUAACCGCAGGUCAGCAAUACUGCGGUGAAUACGUUCCCGGGUCUU